GGUUCAAUGGUCUAGUGGUUAUGAUUUGUGUCUCACAUUUGUGUACACACAAGGUCUCCGGUUCGAUCCCGGGUUGAACCA